AAAAGAAGAAAAGUAGAGGUGCUUAAGUGUUCCGAUAGUCCAGAGGAAAAUUGACUUUGUUUUUCCUAACAUUCACUGGUAAAAGUUCAAUUCUUUGUCAUCCUGGAUACCUCCAUUGUAUUAUCACUGAACGUUCUAAGUUCUAACAUACAUUAUUUAAGUGCAGUCGAACAAUUUUAGGAGCUACUAAAAUUCAGGAAAAGAACCAAAAAACUAGAUUAUGCAGGAACCAGUUUUCCGGUUCUCUCUGAUUGGUGCCACAACUGCCAAUCUUGAUCCAAUAGCAAC
rnacentral:lncRNA from 1 species